rnacentral:pre_miRNA from 1 species
AGAAGUUAAGAAACUGUUUUUUUUUUUAAUUUUUAACUAAAAAUGCUAAGAACCGGUUCUUAAAUAAGGACUUUAAGAAUCGGUUCUUAGCUUUUUUAGUUAAAAGUUAAGAAACAGUUUCUUAACUUCC